AACGCGAAGAACCUUACCCAGACUUGACAUGCAGUGGACAGAGCUAGAGAUAGCUUCUCCCUUCGGGGCCGCUGCACAGGUGCUGCAUGGCUGUCGUCAGCUCGUGCCGUGAGGUGUUGGGUUAAGUCCCGCAACGAGCGCAACCCUUAUCAUUAGUUGCCAACAUUUAAGGUGGGAACUCUAAUGAGACUGCCUGGGUUAACCAGGAGGAAGGUGAGGAUGACGUCAAGUCCGCAUGGCCCUUAUGUCUGGGGCUACACACGUGCUACAAUGGUCGGUACAGAAGGCAGCGAAACCGCGAGGUGAAGCAAAUCCCAAAAGCCGAUCUCAGUUCAGAUUGUAGUCUGCAACUCGACUACAUGAAGACGGAAUUGCUAGUAAUGGCAGGUCAGCAACACUGCCGUGAAUACGUUCCCGGGCCUUGUACACACCGGCUAC
rnacentral:rRNA from 1 species